rnacentral:rRNA from 1 species
UACAGAGACUGCAAGCGUUAUUCGGAUUCACUGGGCGUAAAGGGUGCGCAGGCGGCCAAGUGUGUGAGGCGUGAAAGCCCGGGGCUUAACCUCGGAAUUGCACCUCAAACUACAUGGCUAGAGCAUUGGAGAGGGUAGCAGAAUUCACGGUGUAGCAGUGAAAUGCGUAGAUAUCGUGAGGAAUACCAGAGGCGAAGGCGGCUACCUGGACAAUUGCUGACGCUCAGGCACGAAAGCGUGGGGAGCGAUCCGG